AGUGAACGCUGGCGGUAGGCCUAACACAUGCAAGUCGAACGGCAGCACAGUAAGAGCUUGCUCUUACGGGUGGCGAGUGGCGGACGGGUGAGGAAUACAUCGGAAUCUACUUUUUCGUGGGGGAUAACGUAGGGAAACUUACGCUAAUACCGCAUACGACCUACGGGUGAAAGCAGGGGAUCUUCGGACCUUGCGCGAUUGAAUGAGCCGAUGUCGGAUUAGCUAGUUGGCGGGGUAAAGGCCCACCAAGGCGACGAUCCGUAGCUGGUCUGAGAGGAUGAUCAGCCACACUGGAACUGAGACACGGUCCAGACUCCUAAGGGAGGCAGCAGUGGGGAAUAUUGGACAAUGGGCGGAAGCCUGAUCCAGCCAUGCCGCGUGGGUGAAGAAGGUCUUCGGGUUGUAAAGCCCUUUUGUUGGGGAAGAAAAGCAGCAAGUUAAUACCCCGCUGUUUUGACGGUACCCAAAGAAUAAGCACCGGCUAACUUCGUG
rnacentral:rRNA from 1 species